GACGAACGCCGGCGGCGUGCUUAACACAUGCAAGUCGAACGGAAAGGCCUGCUUUCCCUUGUGGAUUGCGGGUACUCGAGUGGCGAACGGGUGAGUAACACGUGAGUGAUCUGCCCCCAACUUGGGUAUAAGCCUGGGAAACUGGGUCUAAUUCCCGAUAGGACUGCAGGGUGGUGCCUGUGGUGGAAAACGAUUUUCUAGUGGUUGGGGAUGAGCUCGCGGCCUAUCUGCUUGUUGGUGGGGUAAUGGCCUACCAAGGCGGCGACGGGUAGCCGGCCUGGGAUGGUGGACGGGCCGAUUGGGGAUGGGAUACGGGCCAGACUCCUACGGGAGGCAGCAGUGGGGAAUAUUGCACAAUGGGCGGAAGCCUGAUGCAGCGACGCCGCGUGGGGGAUGACGGCCUUCGGGUUGUAAACUCCUUUCGACCGCGAGGAAGCCACCUGGUUGGAAGGGUGGUGACGGUAGUGGUAGAAGAAGCACCGGCUAACUACGUG
rnacentral:rRNA from 1 species